rnacentral:rRNA from 1 species
AUUGAACGCUGGCGGCAGGCCUAACACAUGCAAGUCGAACGAGUGGCGGACGGGUGAGUCAUGUCUGGGAAACUGCCUGAUGGAGGGGGAACACUACUGGAACCGGUAGCUAAUACCGCAUACCAUCGGAUGUGCCCAGAUGGGAUUAGCUAGUAGGUGGGGUAAAGGUGCACCUAGGCGACGAUCCCUAGCUGGUCUGAGAGGAUGGCCAGCCACACUGUAACUGAGACACGGUCCAGACUCCUACGGGAGGCAGCAGUGGGGAAUAUUGCACAAUGGGCGCAAGCCUGAUGCAGCCAUGCCGCGUGUAUGAAGAAGGCCUUCGGGUUGUAAAGUACUUUCAGCGGGGAGGCGUUACCCGCAGAAGAAGCACCGGCUAACUCCGUGCCAGCAGCCGCGGUAAUUC